rnacentral:lncRNA from 1 species
UUUAAGUGAUGACGUCAUAUUCAAAGUAAACGCCAUUCACCAAGCCACUGCACUAAGAUCCAACGUAAGUACAUUUAUCUGUAUUUUUUAACUGUUGUUUUUUUCUUCUUACUUUUUAUAAAGUUUCUAUUAUAAAGGAACAGAAUGAUGUUCCCGUAAAGUUUUGACGUCAUAAAACAAAACAUCUGACGCCACAAUGGAAAAGUGAUUGUCAAAAGUUAGAGAGGCCGGUAUACAUGUCAAAAUACAGGAUUUGGUGUUUCAAGCAUGAUUUUUGUGCUCCAAGCAUUAUCACUACCAGCGACGUCACAAUGUGCAAAAUGAUGUGAGAGGUGAAAUUAUCUGACAGCAACGUCACAAUCGUGACAAUGCGGGUUUUCUUCGUAUAUAUGUCGGAAAAUAUCAGCCGCUUAUCAAAAAGGUUCACAUUGUGCCUCGGGGCUGAUAUUUUACGAUAUCAGCAUGUAGAAAACCCGAUAAUUUAUCGCACCACUAUUCUGGUUUUACAACACGUGCAUGAUGUAAUACAUAAAACCAUUUUAGAAGAGAGACAUGAUAGAUAUGAAAUUAAAUUUUGUUGUACUCUUGCUUUAUAAAUUAUUUUUACAAAAAAAUUUUGCUAAUUUCGUCUGCAGAAACCUUAGACACGUGUAGCUAAUUUGAUUCUAAUUGAGGUCAGGAUAGCGAGCUAUCAGUGGUAUGUAUUUGCCAUGUCAUGUUAACUUUAUACACAGACACAGUGAUGGCAUACCUUGAAAAUAACUCAAGUGUAUUUACAAUAUAAAGUCUUGUGCAUUGAACUCAUAAACUAAAGAACUGAUAAAAAUUUAGUAUGAAUAAAUACAAAAGAUUUUUUACAAAAAUCAACUUUGUAGUUUUUAAUUUCUGUGUCAUUUUGGUCUCUUGCGGAGAGUUGUCUCAUUGGCAUUCAUACCACAUCUUCUUUUUUAUAUAUAUAUUUCUGUUUUUAAAUUAAGGUUAUGUUUUUUUUAAUUACAUAUUUUAAUUUUUAUCAUUAUUUGAAAAAUCCGGAUAAUUUUAAACAUUUUUGACAUUUUACUAUGUUUUACAAUUUGUAUUUGUUAAAUAGGUAUAUAUUUGUAAUAGUGUCUCAUAAGCCUAUGUAGGCUGGGUAUUUGUCUUAUCUUAGUACUAUUGUGCAAUGUAUAUUAUAUAAUAUUAUCUGUAUGUAUAACAUCAGUAGACGAGUAUGUGACACUUUAAUAAAAUAAAUUAUUAUCUAUAAUUAUUUAUUUUUGCAAGGGACAAUAUAAUUUACCAAAACAUCAUACCACUACUCCUUUAAUUAUUAUUAUUAUAUGUAUAUAAUGACUGAAUAAAUAGUCAACGAUUAAUCUGUAUUAUAUAAUAUAUGUUCCAGACCGUAUCUAUGAGUUUUUGGACCGUAUGCUUACUUUUUUCAAAAUACUCAUACGGUAGAACGAAUAUAAAUGUAAUUGAAAUAAAAACUUUAUAUUUUAACUAUUUAAAAAAUUCGCGCUAAAUAAAUCUGUCAAUUUCUUGUAUGUCUUAACAUGUCGACCAGGAUAUACAUUAAUUGAGUUAUUAUAUGAUCACUGAAAUUGAAGAUAUCUGAAGAAAACAUAAUGUGGGAGGACACUAUUUAGCAAUUUUAGAAACAAAAAUGUAAAUGCAAGGGAACAUGCAUGAACAGCACACAUUUCAACGCAAAAAAAAUACGUCCAUCUAAUUGUAAUAAUAACAAUUUGUAAUACUAAAAAUAAAGAUUGUGAUAAUGGUUGUCUAAAUGUAAACCAUAUGAUCCAAUAACAUUAGGUCAGCUCGUACUGGACCAUACGCGUAUACUCAUACGGUCCGACCGCACGCGUAUGGUCGGACCGUACGAGUAUACGUAUAUACGGUCCGGACCGUACUCGUACGGUCCAAAUACUCAAUGGUCUGGAACAUAUAUAUGGCAAAUUUGUAAAUGUAAAACAUACAUUUAUGGUCAUAAUUUUCAAUUAUAUUUUUUUUUUAUAUUUUGGCAGUGGCUUAUUUGCCGGUGAAACAGUAAUUAUGAUAUGAUUAUAAUAUCUCGAUUAAAAGCGAGCUAUAAAUAGCUAUAGCAUAAUUCAAAAGUAAUGGCUAUUUUGCCGGCGCUGACAAUACUGUGAAUUUGGUUUUUUUACCGGUUCUUUGUGGAGUUUAAAAAGAUAUAUCAGUCACAAUGAAGAUUGGAAUAUGUCAUAAUGUAAAAAGUAAUAAAAAAUGUAAAAAAGCUGUGUAUUUAAUUUGAUAAAUGAUAAAUCAUUAUGCCAUCUAACAAAAUCAAUAUUAUAGCUUCAAACUCAUAAAUAUUUAAUGAAAAUACCGAAUUUGCCUUUGAAAUUAGGGAACCACCAUUUACAUUUUUUUUUUGUAACUAUAAAAAAAAAGGGGGGGGGGUCAUGGAGUUUUUUCUUAAGAUUUCCAAAUUGAUGAAACAAAAUAUUCUGUUCGAGUACAGGACAAAAAAUAUUCUGAAUCCAGAUUCCACCCAUACCUUAUAGUGUUAGACUUAAUUUCUUAAAAAAAAUAAUUUGAUUGAUAUCGUUGAAAAAUUAAAUAAAAUUGUUUGCACUUCACUGACUCAAGCAAAAACCAUGACCCUCCUUGAAGUUAAAUUGUUGCUCCCUGACAGUCUACGGUUUAUUUUAAAAUUAUAUUUAAUAUCACUAUGCAAAUUUUAUCAAUGUCAAUUUUUGUAGAGUCUUACAUGAAGAACUACAUGUACCCCUCAGCAAGGACAUCAGAUAUUGAAGAAUUGAUUGGGGAAACCCUAAAACAUACACCCCGAAACCAGGCGGAACACGCUAUAAGGUAAGAAUACCCUUAUUUCCCCGUAUAGUGCAACCUAUAUUGGAAUAUUUCCCAAAAUUAUUAUUGUUUGUAUUCUAUGUUGUUUUGUUUUUUUAAUUCAGUACGAAAUUGUUAUUAGGCCUAAAAUUUUGUCUUGUUCUGUACACACAACAAUGCUGCAAUGCUUUAGACAACAUUGAUCUAGAGACUUCAUGAUUUACAUGUAUAAAGCUUUUAAAUGUAAAAAAAAAAUCCCUACCUACCUACCCACCUGCUGAUAGUGUGGGGUGGCAAUGCCAAACAAACAAUUUUUUAAGGGUGGCCUUAUAGAUAUGCAUUUGUAACUAACAUUGUGAAGAUCAAGAUACUCUUUUGGGACAAUAAAUUAAGGGUAACAUUAAAUUUAACUGAAUAUAUAAUUAUGUGGUUUAUGUGUUUUUCAAGGAGAUUUGGAAAGCCACGUCUUACACACAGCUACAUAGAUCUAGUAUUUAUUUGCAAUAAUGUUUGACCUAGAAUAAUUACAAUUUAACUUUUUGUACAAAUAAGUUUUUGUAUUGUCAUUGCAGGAACCAACUGUUAAGAGGAUAAUUGCAGCAGCUCCGGAAAUACCACUACCAGGGACCCAGGAGAACAUUUAAAAUAAACAAAGUUAACGAUCAAUUCUUCACUUGUUGAUAUACAGAUAUAGGAAGAUGUUGUGUGAGUGCCAAUGAGACAACUCUCCGUCCAAAUAACAAUUUAAAAAAAGUAAACCAUUAUAGGUCAAUGUACGGCCUUCAACACGGAGCCUUGGCUCACACCGAACAACAAACUAUAAAGGGCCCCAAAAUUACUAUUGUAAAACCAUUCAAACGAGAAAACCAACGGUCUAAUCUAUAUAAAAUAAAAUAAAACGAGAAACGAG